GCCCAGGCACCAAACACUGGCAAACACAGUGAUCGAAACCCGCUUAACGCUCCUCUUGGCCCUUGGCCCAAAAACGAUGAUCUCCCGUUGCUGACUGCGCGGACUGCCUCGCCAAAAUCUCUGUACUCCGUACCCCGUGCUAUGAUUACGUAGGGAGCCGGCCUGAUUUGGCAAAAUAAAUUGUGCGCCCUACAGGUCGAGUCCUCUCUACCCAUGGGCUUGCUCCCCUCCUGACCUGCACACAAUUGAUUAUUGCGUCAUGUAACUUUUAACCGUUCGGACAAGGCAAAAUUAGAGUUCAACUACCAACCUCUGUCAUUCUAGCAUCUGCCUGGUUUCUAUACGAUAAUCCCCAAGAUCGCCCAGGCUGGGGUAAUCGCUCGACAAAAGAAUGGGAGAACUGGAACACAAGGUCUCAAUGUUAUAUAUAGCCCUGUGGGUAGCCAGCAUCCAGGCUCUUUCAACAUUUUUUAGAAAUUUGAUGAAUACCAGGUUUCAAUCGGUUAGAUUAUUCAGCACAUUAACUCAGACGGUGAUAGGGAGAGAGGGUGGAGAUGGUAGAGGCAAAUUUUCCCGUUGUCAUGAUGUAUAUCAGGCCCGAGUCCCUGGAGAGAUAUUUGCAGGUGCAGGAGACUUGAAUAUUUAUUUUUAUAUUUUUUCAUUUCGGCCUACGUCUAUAUUAAACCUUUUAUUUAAAAAAAAAAAAAAAUUAGAAGCUGAUUUACUUACAGUAGAAGCAUUUGCCGACUCUGGUUCUAUCAAUAAACGCCUC
rnacentral:sRNA from 1 species